ensembl:lncRNA
CGAGGGGGGCGAUGUCUGUGCCCCCUGCUCGGCCAGCGCUUGUAGGUGGCCCGGAUGGAGGCCAAAGACAUGGUUCUCGCUGCGUGACCUUGAGCGGGCCGCUCCAUCUCCCCGGGGCGGCUCUCUCUGAAAUGCGGCUGCCCUCUCUACUCUCGGGCCCUGUGAGAGCUCUGACCUGGGCCGCUCCCAGCCUCGGAGGAGGCCGCUGGGGAUAACGAGAGGCGUCGGCCUGGGAGUCGGGAGAACGAGGGGCUUCCGUGCCCACCGAUCGCUGGGGUCUGCGUGGCCUUGGGACCUUAGGGUGCUCGAGGCUGCCCCUGCUCAGCGAGUCCCCGGGUCAUUGUUACCGCCCUUUCACAGAGGCGGAUCCAGAGUCUCCCCUCCGUCCCCUCCCUCCCCUGACCAGGAACUCCAAACCAAGAAGAGCUCCACCCUCCUGCAAGUGUCCAUAGCCAGCAGCAUCCCUGCCUCGCUGCUUCUGUACUCGUUUCUUCUGGGUGCUGGUUUCUUCUCGCCCAUGGUCACAACUCAGCAGAUUUCUACUUUAGAGGGAAAUUUAGACUGGAAAAACCUUCAAAUUCCCUUCUAAUCCUAAGAUUCUAAGACUUGAUUCUUUGGAACUGCCAAGAAAUACCUGGAAAUGAAGGCAGAAAGGAAGAAGACUCAAUGCUGCCUAAGUCUUAGGAACUUUGACUCACAUUUUGUACAGGAAUUCUUGCAUUUUAUGGAGUCCCCUACUAUGUACUUAAAAAAAAAAAAAGUUCAGUCCUUGGGAGUAGGCUCAGUUGAAGCCUUCAGUCAGUUAAAAAUAGCAUUUGUUGAUCUUUGUCUAACCUGAUUUAAUGCUGCCCUUCACAACAGAAGUGAACAUUCCUAGCCAUACCACUUUUCUGUUGGCCUUCAGUCUGGCAAAAUGUCAAGAACUAUGUAAGCUCUUGUGACAUCUGCAGCUGAAACAAGAUCCACAACAGCUUUAGGGACCACUAUUUCAGCCUGUGACGGGCCUCAGAACCCAGAGGCUUGUCUAUCGGUUUCAUUGUCUCACCCACAAAAUCCUUGUACAGCACAAAGCAUUCAAACCCAGCCAGCUCAUAGAUCUGAGGCAGCUUGUAGUAGUACAAAGAACACUGGACAAAGAACUUGUCUCAAAACCUCAGAUCUGCCUCUUGCUCAGCCAAUCAGUAAAUAGCAAUUCCUAUGUACCAGACACUGUGCUAAGCGCCCGUGAUAUAAAGGAAAGCAAAAGAUGUCCCUGCCCUCAAGGAGUUCACCAUCAAGUGGAGAAGACAAAAGACUGUGUACAAACAAAAUACAGGAUAAAAUAGAAAUAAAAGGAAGACACUGGAUUAAGAGGGACUGGGAAAAACUACUCAUAUUUUAACUGGGACCUGAAGGAAGCCAGGGGAGUCAGGAAACCCAGGGAAGAAGGUAUAUUCCAGACUAGGAAAAAAGUCAGGGAAAACACCUGGAGUUGGGAGACAAUAUUUUGUUUUAAGAAAUGGGUUCACAGAUUAUAUGGAGAGCUGUGUAAGAAGACUGGAAAGUUGUCUGGGA